rnacentral:lncRNA from 1 species
GCCCUCUAAGGUCCCCUUUAGUAAACAUUAAAAUUAUAACAUACUGCGCAUUUUAUUAUUUUACUCUCUGUUAUUUUCGUUCUUUUUCACGUUAGGGUUCUCACUGCUACGAUUUUCGCUACUUCUAAGGCGUUCUCCUUCCACCUCUGUUAGAUCUACGACGUUUCCUCCUUCUACUAAUUCGUUGUUAGCUGUUCGAUUUUGACACCAUAGGUAUUUUUC